GUAGGAAAUACAGAGAAGAGGGGAAACUAAAGGUCUGCCUUUCAACCCAGAAGACCUGAAAGAGGGAACCCUGGGAGCCAAAAAGUGUAGGAGAGGGAGCUCAGGAAAGCGCUCCUGUAAAACUGUGGAUGAAAUCCUGGACCCAUCCCUGAAUUGCAGAUGCCUGGAUUUGAGCCAACAUUGCGUACCAGAAACGCUCAUACGUAAAUGAAGAACUCACCCUGCACGUGCUCCACUCAGGACUUCAGCCCCCAUCAAUACCUUCCACACCCUUCUGGAAGUCUGUAGCCUGUGCGAGUAACCAGCUCUCCUGACAGGUGGAGCUCAGCGUUCCUGACACCGGCCCCUGUCCCCUCAUCAGCCUUCCAAGCUGCAGGCCUCCCGCUGCCUCAGCAGAAGGUCAGUUAACCUCCACGAGAGGUUCGAUUCUGCAAACUGACUAAAGAACUGACAGAAUUCUUCAUAAAUACAGAAUUUAGGCUCCACA